UAAAAAUUAAAUAAAAGACAUUUCAUUAAAUUAAAAAAAAAAACAUUCGAACUAGAAAAAAAAAUACAUUCAACCUAGAAAAAUAUAAAAACAAACUACUCCUCGUCCGAAUCAACUUCAAGGUGAGGCAAAUCUAAACUUCCGAGAUGCUCAACGAGAUCGUGUUUUAGCCUCCAAUGCGUGUCUUCGUCAAUGAGCUCCGUAUAGGCUGUAUCAUCGAAGACGGGUUCGACUGGAGGAUCUUGAAUAUGAACCGGUGCUAUCGCCCUUCCGUCGUCUUUUAUAAUCAUGUUGUGUAAAAUAAGGCACAUUGUUGCAGCACGUUGAUGUCGUUUUGUGAACCCGCUGGCCCACAAAAAGCAUGCCAAAUCCACAAAUCUUGAGACGCUACCGCUUCUAACAUAACCGUCGGGUAUUGAUGAUCGCCUCUCAUGUAUUGUCCACGCAAUUCUGUGGGGCACAUUCUCCAGACGAAGUGUGUACAAUCCAGACUCCCUAACAUACCAGGUAGGUGAUGCCUAUCCUCAUGAGCCUGAUACAAUAGCGCGACGUCGUGGCUCGUUGGUCUACGUAGGAAUUCACCACCAUACCUUUUACAUACCGUCUCGCAGAAAUAUUCAAGGCACUCACGAGAGGUCCUUUCAGACAUAUUUAAAUACUCGUCCCCCUCGUCUGGUGGGUUACCGGUUGCAAGUUGUUUAAUUGCCGAAGUAACCUUUUGCAACGGUGUAAAGCUUUUCUUCAUUCUCCCGUCUAAGCCUUCUUGAAACCACUCGUCAUACGCUUCCACGUCACUAACAAUUUUUAGGAACAAAGACUUGGACAUACGA
rnacentral:lncRNA from 1 species